GUCUUUUUGGUUAUUUAAUAUAAAGUCUGACCUGCCCACUGAAAUUAUUUUAAAGGGCCGCAGUAUUUUGACUGUGCAAAGGUAGCAUAAUCAUUAGUCUUUUAAUUGAAGGCUGGUAUGAAUGGUUGGAUGAGGUACAAGCUGUGUCAUAAAAAUUAAUAUUUGAAUUUACCUUUUUAGUCAAAAGGCUAAAAUAAAAUUAAAAGACGAGAAGACCCUAUAGAGCUUUAUAUAAUUUAUAUUUAAAUUAUUAAGAUUUUUUAAAUUUAAUUAUUUUAUUAUAUUUUGUUGGGGUGACAAUAAAAUUUAUAUAACUUUUAUUAUUUAUUUACAUUUGUUUAUGGUUGAAUGAUCCAGUUUUAUUGAUUAUAAGUUUAAGUUACCUUAGGGAUAACAGCGUAAUUUUUUUUGAGAGUUCUUAUCGACAAAAAAGAUUGCGACCUCGAUGUUGGAUUAAGAGUAAUUUUGGGUGUAGAAGUUCAAAGUUUAAGUCUGUUCGACUUUUAAAUUCUUACAU
rnacentral:rRNA from 1 species